rnacentral:lncRNA from 1 species
UUUUUUUUUUUUUUUUGUUUAUUCGCAUUUCUCAGUAAUUUCUCUCUCAAUUUGUACGGUCCGCAACUAUAUAUAAUAUAACUAAAUUAAAUAUUUUUUUUUGGGAUAGAAAAUGCAAAACCAAUAAUAUGUUAUUAAUGAGUUGGGUAGAAAUCGUUCAGGACAAUUUGCUUGACAAAAUCAUGGAAACUCGAUAGAGAGAUUCAGUCUAAAUCAAAUAGUUUUGGGACUUCAUGAUUGUUGAAACUUCACCAGAAAAUUGAUGUUAGAAAUUUUAACAGAAUUUGAUAGGUGAAAGAAACCUAUUGUUCCAAUACCACGUGAAUAAUUGGAUUAGAUUAAUAAUUUUCGAAUAUAAGUAGGCGUAAUCCUGACAAAAUUUGCCAGGUUUCAAUUUUCGAAUAUAAAUGCUCACAAAAUCUUAAUUUAUUUAUUUUUAUGGGAUAUCGUUAAAAUCAUAAUCUUAGCCGCUGGAAACAUUUGCUUUAUACAGAACUAUAUAUAUAUAUAGUACAUAUUAAACAAAACGAGUUAUUGUUAUCUUUGAAAGUUUACAUAGUAGAGAUCGAGACUCCACCAGUCAUUUCAAACAAUCAUGAAAUAUGACUAGGAAUGUUGAAGAUUUGAUUAGUAGCUAGGAAGAAAGGAUGGCCUGGCCUGGAGUCUCAAGUCAGAAGUUGUACAAAGACCACAAGAAGACCACGCAAUCCAUGGAUGAAGAUUAGCAAUUUCUUUCUUUCUUUCUUUUUUUUCUUCUAACACCAAUUGGAUGAAGAUAAUGAAGUUUAAGGAUGAGAGUCAAGAUAAUCAAUCAUGCGCGAUCAAUGGCGCAAUCGUGAUUGUAUUACUUGAGAACUAAAUGAAAUCAAUGACAAAAUACUGCACUGUUUCCUUAUAGUGACUGUGUCAUCACAAGAAAAUAAGUUGUAUACGGCAAGAAUUUGUUAAUUCUGAGAUUAUCUUGAUGCAGAUGGCCAAAUUCUGACACUACGUACAUGGCCAAUUUCUUUGUUUUUUUUUUUUUUUUUUAAAAAAAUUUUUUUUGUUGAUGUCAAAUUCCUGCAUUUGCACAAUUGCACAUUAAUUGGCUUAUAUCAAAUUGAACAAUUCCACGUUUGGUUUUUUCAAUUUCUAUUCAAGUCCACCAGGCAUGCCUGAGGUCUUCUCUGUUUCUUUGAAGGAGGUAACCGGUGCGAAGUGAAAAAGGAGGACCUCUGGGCUUUGAUGAGAGAAUCAUUCAAGUAUUACCAGCAAAUUAAAACGAAAAUGACGAGCAAAGAAAAAUCAAACGGAUGGACCUAGCUCUCAAAAUAUGCAUAACUUAGGUGGUUAUGGAUAUGGUAAACAAAAUCAAUGGUAAAAGGGAUCUGCUUCAGAGAAAAUUCAAAUGAAGAAAGUUGCAUGUGGUUUCUAACUUUCUAAUAGGGAGGUGCGAACUUCUUAAACUCUAGCGGCUGCUUCCAUGAACUAAAUUUUAGAGGAAAAAAAAAAAAACUCUUAUCAUCUAAAACUCUUCCAUCAUGCAGACAAUUAUAUAUCCCAUGUUUACUUUUACAAAUGAUUAUCAAGUCUCUCAGCUACUGCCCCUCAUCAAGAAGCAAAAUCCUACAGGAAAUGGAGUUCUGUUGAGCCCAUGGUUCAAAGUCACGGUCGCAGUCGCGGUCGUGGCCCGGAACGUUCUAUAUUGGUCUCGGCAUAUCGGUCGCGGUCUCGGUGAGACGCAAAUUUUAAAGUAUUUAAUAUUCUAAAAAUUGUUAAUAAUAUAAAAAAGUAUGCUAAAUAAAAAUAAUUAAAAAUAGCAAAAGAAACGGCCAAGUCAAUCCGUCGCGGUGUGACUCGGCUGAUUUCUCGUCUUGACUCGGGAUAACUCGGAGUGACUCGGUGUGACUUGGCCUAGUCAAUCCGUCGCGGUGACGACUCGGUCGAUUUCUCGGCGAGUCAAGUAUUUCGGUAUCGUUUUGUCACGGUAUCGUAUCGGUAGGGGCCGAGACGGUGACGACUCGGCCGAGUCGUCUCGGUCUCGGCUGAGACUUCGAACCAUGGUUGAGCCUCAUCUUUCUUUGAUGGCACGUCAGAGAUUUAGCAAAAUUAGUUAAAUAUCUCCGCUUCUAAAGUCAGAUCACAAGAAUGUGUCAUGAUAAUGACAAUAAUUGAACCAAAAAAAAUUCCAUCCACUGCAAACACCUCAUUAAUGCAUUAUUCGAAGGAAAGGGAACUCUACUGAUUAAGCUCACGAGUCCUUUUGAUGGAGAAAUUGAAAUUGAUGUAAACCAUUAAUUUUUUCUUUCCAAGAUAUUCAUCAAAUUACCAUUUCUUGAUCCAGCUCAUCCUUGAGAUGUCUCUCUCUUUAGGAUGCUACUGCAGAUGAGUACCUAUUGGAUUUACAGUUGCUUCGUAAAUAGACUUGGGAUUAUUCUCUUUCAAAUUAGCCUUACCAAUGAGACUCCAUCUUGAUCAGCUUAUUGGACGAGGUGUAUGACUAAAGUUGUAUGGGACGAGGUAUAUACUGGUAAUGCAGCAAGGGUUGUCUUUAGCAGCAAAUCUUGAUCAGCCAAAGUAGCAAUGUUUUCUUGCACCCUCUGGUUCUGUGCACCUUCUCCUUAUAAAACAGUUAGCAUCACUCUACAUCUACCUAAAGUUGAGUCUCUUUCUGCUAAAAAUUCAAGUUUAGAGUUAAGACAUCUACUUUUAUGCACCAUUGAACUUGCUCUAAAGGGCUUUACUUGAUGUCUUGCUGGAAACUUAUUGUUCAACACAUUUAAAUCUGCAUUGCUGUCAAGACUUGUUUAAAUUCGUAAUUGUCCUUCAUAUUAUGAUGCAGUUCUCGUCCCUACUGGACAAGGCAUUUGUACUAGCAUAGCUGAUGAUUCUUGCAUUGAUCUUUUUCAACUUCAAAAUGCCAACAACUCAAUGAGGUAAUGAUCCAUGGAACAUUAUAUGCUGUUUCUCAAUCUUUUCAAGAUAUAAGCGUGAAUGCAUAAGUUUCUUAAUUGAACAGACUAAAGUACGCAAGUGAGGUUCUUCUUUUCUCAUUUGUCUUCUACAUCUGCCAUUUAUGUUCUAAUUCAUGUGGAACUCCCUAGGCAAAUAAGCAAGUGUAACAUCUAUACGAAUAUAUUUGAGAGCUUGAACAAGAGAUGCGAGGAACUGAUAUACCUGGCAUUAAAUGAAACUGCUAUACGAUACAUGAUGGAGAGAACUCAUACUGCCAAGGGCAAAACAGCUCAAUGGAGAACGGAGAUAGUUUGUCAAGGCUCUAAGCGUGUUACACAAUUUAUUAUCACAAAAUAGUUGUCAUCAGCGGAAAAUGUGUACAGAACAUGGAUAUGCUGGUACUUACAAACUCAAAUUAUUAAGAAAAAGCCA